AAAGGCUCCAGAGAUGGAACUUUGAAUUCAGCUCUCUCUGCUGCGCCGGUGUGGGAACCCAGAUUUAAAAACAGCUUCUGCAAA
rfam:Tupaia chinensis contig199936, whole genome shotgun sequence.